UAUAGGGCAAGUGCUUCUGGCAUACAGAUUCAUGAUACCACACUUCCGUGUACUCGAUGCAAUUAUUGAGGGCAGAAGCCCAGGGUCACGUGGUCAGAUGACAUAUCUCAGGGAGAUCCAUUAGGAUGUUAAUUGUUUUAGCAGUGAUUACUAUUUUCAUUGCGACAUACUAAAUAUAAUCAUAGGGCUCAAGGAUCAUAGGUGAGAGGAUGUUAUUUUAUAUUACUCGUAAUUGUCAUUUCUCAUACUCGGAGUCCUUUCCUUUAAUGUGUAGUGGGUCAAGAUUGGUGGCUCUGGCUGGUUGCUGGCUGCCGUGCUCAACCUCUUGCUCGUGUAUGGGACCUAUCCUUUGUUCCAUGGAAAUGAAUGGAGCGAUUCUUUGAGUGGCUUCUACGUGGCAGUUUCGCGCACAGGCUGGAGCCUCGGACUCGGUUGAGUUAUCUUCAUCUGUAUCAUUGGGCAAGGAGGAUUUAUCAACACUCUUUUAUCAUGGAAGGCUCUGAUCCCUCUAAGUCGGCUGUCCUAUUGUGCUUAUCUUGUACAUCCGGUCAUCAUAAUGACCUUCUACUUCAGCCGUAGGGAACUGUUACACUGGUCUUCUCAUUGUGAGAUGGUUGUAUUCUUCCUCGCCUUCAUGGUGAUAUCCUACAUGGUAGCAUUCUGCGCUUCCAUUCUGUUUGAAUCACCCUUUAUGGCGUU